CCUGCCCUAUAAAGAUGGGAUGCCCCUUGUACCUACCUUAAGGGGCUGAUUAUAUAUCAAUUAUAUCUGAUUUUAUUGAAAAUAAAUUAAAUUAAAAAGUUAGAGAUUUCUUAUGAGAUAAGGAUGUACCUUUUUAAGAUAAUUGGAUUCUUCUUUUGCGUCAGGAUAGUGCCUAUAUAAAGAGAUGUCUCUAAGGUUUCUAAGUGAUAGAAGUUUUGUAAACAAACCUCUCCC
rnacentral:lncRNA from 1 species